rnacentral:tRNA from 1 species
GGGCCUAUAGCUUAGUGGUAGAGCACCCGGUUUGCAUCCGGAAGAUGCGAGUUCGAUUCUCGCUAGGUCCA